UACGAGAGGCCCAAACGUUAUUCGGAUUUACUGGGCUUAAAGAGUUCGUAGGCGGUGCAGAAAGUGGGGUGUGAAAGCCCUCGGCUCAACCGAGGAAUUGCGCUCCAAACUACUGUACUAGAGGAAGCUAGAGGUGAGCAGAACAGAUGGUGGAGCGGUGAAAUGCGUUGAUAUCGGGAGGAACACCAGUGGCGAAGGCGGCGAUCUGGGUAGAUACUGACGCUGAGGUGCGAAAGCGUGGGGAGCAAACAGG
rnacentral:rRNA from 1 species